AUGCUAACCUUUAAUAGAACUACUGGGUUGAAAUAACCUUUGGCUUUGUUUACAUUACCAUAAUGAGACCGUUAGAAAUAGCAAUUUUAGGAUCAUUGAUGAUGAUUCUUCUUCUAUUAUCUACUGCACAGUCCGCACCUUUCAGUGAUGAUGUUGAACAAAAUGAACAAGCGGAAGUUGAUGAACAAAAAGAAGCCAGAUGGUUACUUAAUCAUCUAGCGAACUUUCAAAGG
rnacentral:sRNA from 1 species